AUGAACGCUGGCGGCGUGCCUCAUACAUGCAAGUCGAGCGAACAGACGAGGAGCUUGCUCCUCUGACGUUAGCGGCGGACGGGUGAGUAACACGUGGAUAACCUACCUAUAAGACUGGGAUAACUUCGGGAAACCGGAGCUAAUACCGGAUAAUAUAUUGAACCGCAUGGUUCAAUAGUGAAAGACGGUUUUGCUGUCACUUAUAGAUGGAUCCGCGCCGCAUUAGCUAGUUGGUAAGGUAACGGCUUACCAAGGCAACGAUGCGUAGCCGACCUGAGAGGGUGAUCGGCCACACUGGAACUGAGACACGGUCCAGACUCCUACGGGAGGCAGCAGUAGGGAAUCUUCCGCAAUGGGCGAAAGCCUGACGGAGCAACGCCGCGUGAGUGAUGAAGGUCUUCGGAUCGUAAAACUCUGUUAUCAGGGAAGAACAAAUGUGUAAGUAACUAUGCACGUCUUGACGGUACCUAAUCAGAAAGCCACGGCUAACUACGUG
rnacentral:rRNA from 1 species